UAGGAUGAACGCUAGCUACAGGCUUAACACAUGCAAGUCGAGGGGCAGCAUGGUCUUAGCUUGCUAAGGCCGAUGGCGACCGGCGCACGGGUGAGUAACACGUAUCCAACCUGCCGUCUACUCUUGGACAGCCUUCUGAAAGGAAGAUUAAUACAAGAUGGCAUCAUGAGUCCGCAUGUUCACAUGAUUAAAGGUAUUCCGGUAGACGAUGGGGAUGCGUUCCAUUAGAUAGUAGGCGGGGUAACGGCCCACCUAGUCUUCGAUGGAUAGGGGUUCUGAGAGGAAGGUCCCCCACAUUGGAACUGAGACACGGUCCAAACUCCUACGGGAGGCAGCAGUGAGGAAUAUUGGUCAAUGGGCGAGAGCCUGAACCAGCCAAGUAGCGUGAAGGAUGACUGCCCUAUGGGUUGUAAACUUCUUUUAUAAAGGAAUAAAGUCGGGUAUGCAUACCCGUUUGCAUGUACUUUAUGAAUAAGGAUCGGCUAACUCCGUGCCAGCAGCCGCGGUAAUACGGAGGAUCCGAGCGUUAUCCGGAUUUAUUGGGUUUAAAGGGAGCGUAGAUGGAUGUUUAAGUCAGUUGUGAAAGUUUGCGGCUCAACCGUAAAAUUGCAGUUGAUACUGGAUAUCUUGAGUGCAGUUGAGGCAGGCGGAAUUCGUGGUGUAGCGGUGAAAUGCUUAGAUAUCACGAAGAACUCCGAUUGCGAAGGCAGCCUGCUAAGCUGCAACUGACAUUGAGGCUCGAAAGUGUGGGUAUCAAACAGGAUUAGAUACCCUGGUAGUCCACACGGUAAACGAUGAAUACUCGCUGUUUGCGAUAUACAGCAAGCGGCCAAGCGAAAGCGUUAAGUAUUCCACCUGGGGAGUACGCCGGCAACGGUGAAACUCAAAGGAAUUGACGGGGGCCCGCACAAGCGGAGGAACAUGUGGUUUAAUUCGAUGAUACGCGAGGAACCUUACCCGGGCUUAAAUUGCAGAUGAAUUACGGUGAAAGCCGUAAGCCGCAAGGCAUCUGUGAAGGUGCUGCAUGGUUGUCGUCAGCUCGUGCCGUGAGGUGUCGGCUUAAGUGCCAUAACGAGCGCAACCCUUGUUGUCAGUUACUAACAGGUUCCGCUGAGGACUCUGACAAGACUGCCAUCGUAAGAUGUGAGGAAGGUGGGGAUGACGUCAAAUCAGCACGGCCCUUACGUCCGGGGCUACACACGUGUUACAAUGGGGGGUACAGAGGGCCGCUACCACGCGAGUGGAUGCCAAUCCCAAAAACCUCUCUCAGUUCGGACUGGAGUCUGCAACCCGACUCCACGAAGCUGGAUUCGCUAGUAAUCGCGCAUCAGCCACGGCGCGGUGAAUACGUUCCCGGGCCUUGUACACACCGCCCGUCAAGCCAUGGGAGCCGGGGGUACCUGAAGUGCGUAACCGCGAGGAGCGCCCUAGG
rnacentral:rRNA from 1 species